rnacentral:misc_RNA from 1 species
UCGAAGCCUACAAAGCACGACCGCGCACGUGUUCCGUAUAGCGGCAGGCGUCGAAAAUCCUUCGGGCUGCUCGUCGCCUUCUGCUCGGUGGUCGGGGCGCCUCGCGCGCUUCACCAUUGAAACUAACGUACCCGGCGCGGACAGCGCCAAGGAAUCGUAACGAAAGAACCUGUCUUUGUAACCCGCUUAUGGGCUGCGAUGGCAUGGGUCGUUUCAUAAUAGUAACUUAACGACUCUCGGCAACGGAUAUCUCGGCUCUCGCAUCGAUGAAGAACGUAGCAAAAUGCGAUACUUGGUGUGAAUUGCAGAAUCCCGUGAAUCAUCGAGUCUUUGAACGCAAGUUGCGCCCGAAGCCUUUAGGCCGAGGGCACGUCUGCCUGGGCGUCCAUCAUUGCGAUGCCCCCCAAAACAGUUUUGGGGAGCGAAGCAUGGCCUCCCGUGAGCCCCAACUCGCGGAUGGCUUAAAAAGGAGCCUCGGGACGCUGAGACGUCGCGACAAGUGGUGGUUGAAUAGGCCUCGGCCUUUGAGCAUUUGCAAGUCGCGCGGACGCUCCCUCGAGCUCGAAAGUAACCCCGCGGAGCGUUUUUGUAGCGCUGCCAGCAUU